GCCGGGCAUGGUGGCCCGUGCCUGUAGUCCCAGCUACUCGGGAGGCUGAGGCUGGAGAAUCGUUUUGAGUCCAGCAGUUCUGGGCUGUAGUGUGCUAUGCUGAUGGGGUGUCUGCACUAAAUUCGGCAUCAAUAUGGUGACCUCCCGGGAGCGGGGCACCACCAGGUUGCCUAAGGAGGGGUGAACCAGCCCACGUCAGAAACGGAGCAGGUCAAAACUCCCUUGCUUAUCAGUAGUGGGAUCACACUUGUGAAUAGCCACUGCACUCCAGUCUGGGCAACAUAGCGAGACCCCAUCACU
rnacentral:SRP_RNA from 1 species